AUGCAAGGUCUUAGCAGGCUGAUGCUGAUGCAAGGAUCUCCAGCAACCACAAGUAUGGUCCAUGAUGCUGAAGAAGGUUCUCACACCACCUUUGUUUCCAAGGAACAAGGUUCGUCACCAAUUCCUUACGAUAUUAUCAUGGUGUCUCUCAGUGGCAGCCUGUUACUGUUGGUUGUGAUCAGCAUAGCAGUGAAAGUUCUCCUGAGGCACUGCACCUCACAUCAUUCCUCCAAAGAUCUCGGUGCACCUACAGUGGUCCUGGAAAAUACUGCAGUAACGAACAUCUCUGAUAAGAUUUCAACAGUGGAUUUGACCGGCCCAGUGUGUGUAAGUUACAUUUCUGAGAGGCACACUGUGUCCACAGAGUGUGCCAACCCUGAAGAGACAAUUUCCAUUUUUGAGUUACCGUUCUUCUCCUUCUCUGCCUCAAUAACACCCCCGGAUUCACCACCAGAGCAGUGA
rnacentral:lncRNA from 1 species